UGGCGGGCGAGGGAAACCCCGCCCGUCCGCGCACCAUCCCAACUAAACUCUCGGCGCGGGACGCGCCAAGGACUACUCAAACGGAUCGCCGGCCUCCCCGCGGCUUCCGCGGGGCGAGCUGCGCGUCUGGUCGUUUAACUAAAACGACUCUCGGCAACGGAUAUCUAGGCUCUCGCAUCGAUGAAGAACGUAGCGAAAUGCGAUACUUGGUGUGAAUUGCAGAAUCCCGUGAACCAUCGAGUUUUUGAACGCAAGUUGCGCCCGAAGCCAUUAGGCUGAGGGCACGUCUGCCUGGGCGUCACGCAUCGCGUCGCCACCCCCCUCCUCGCCCCGCGCGGGAACGACGUGGGUGGCGGAUGUUGGCCGCCCGUGCCCUCCGCGGCGCGGCUGGCCUAAAUGCGAGUCCUCGGCCCGGGACGUCACGGCGGGUGGUGGUUGAACUCAUCAACUCGAGAGCCGUCGCGACGACGCCCGACGGGGAACUCUCCGACCUUGGAGCCCUUCGCGAGCCCUCGACCGCGACCCCAGGUCAGGCGGGAUUACCCGCUGA
rnacentral:rRNA from 1 species